rnacentral:rRNA from 1 species
CAUACUUUUCUCCCUGGCGGAGAGAGAUUCUACACGGUUGGCCUUGCAGCUGCCUACUGGGCCAUUUGGCUAGCUCGGAAUCGAGUCACUUUUGAGAAAAAGUUGAGCAAAACACCAUUUGAAAUUGUCUUUGCCAUGUGUUCUUUCUUGCUUUAUUGGACAGGGCUGCAACAAGGAGAUGAUGCUAAGGAGCUACGUGCGGGUGCCGAGCAGAUCAGGGCGAGUACCAUGCAGCUGAUGAAGAUGUGUGACGCUGCCAGGCAACCGAUCAUCGGAGAGUGA